AUGGAGAAGAGCAGCAAGAGCAGCAGUUACUGGGAGGAUGAGUAUGCACAAGAGCAGCAGCACAAUUCAGUUAGAGAAGAGCAGCAACAACAUUCAGAGGAGCAGCAGGUUCAUGCAAAUGCAGAGGAGCAGCAACAAUAUGUAGGUGCAGAGGAGCAGCACCAAUAUGUAGGUGCAGAGGGGCACAUGGAAGAACCAGAACCUUGGAAAUUUUCCAACAUGUAUUACCAGCCUAGAAGGACAUCUAAAUUAACAGUUAGUAGAGGAAAAUCAAGUGUAGUUGAGGAGGAAGUAAAUAGUGGCAGUGAUUUAUCUGAUAGUGACUAUGCUAUCCCCCCUUCAGAAAGCAACAGCUCAGCAUCUGAUGAUGAGGUCUUGGAGAUGAGAAAAUAUGCAAAAGAAUUGAAGGAGAAAGUGAGAAAGAACAUGUUGAGAGAAGAUGAGGGCAAAACAUGCAAUGUGUCUGAUGAUUUUAUUGUGCCUGAAAACUCUUGGCUAGAUGAUUCAGAUGGAGAAGGUACACCAUACUUUGAAAGUGAUGACGAUAUGUCAUAUGAUGAAGGCAGUGCCUGA
rnacentral:rRNA from 1 species